UACGAAGGGGGCUAGCGUUGCUCGGAUUGACUGGGCGUAAAGGGCGCGUAGGCGGUUCGUACAGUCAGACGUGAAAUUCCUGGGCUCAACCUGGGGGCUGCGUUUGAUACGUGCGGACUUGAGUGCGGAAGAGGGUCGUGGAAUUCCGGGUGUAGCGGUGGAAUGCGUAGAGAUCCGGAAGAACACCGGUGGCGAAGGCGGUCUGCUGGGCAGUUGCUGGACACUGAUGCGCGACAGCGUGGGGAGCAAACAGG
rnacentral:rRNA from 1 species